AUAAGCGGAGGAAAAGAAACCAACAGGGAUUGCCCUAGUAACGGCGAGCGAAGCGGCAACAGCUCAAAUUUGAAAUCUGGCUACUUUGUAGUCCGAGUUGUAAUUUGUAGAGGAUGCUUUUGGUGAGGUGCCUUCCGAGUUCCCUGGAACGGGACGCCAGAGAGGGUGAGAGCCCCGUACGGUUGGAUACCAAACCUUUGUAUAGCUCCUUCAACGAGUCGAGUAGUUUGGGAAUGCUGCUCUAAAUGGGAGGUAUAUCUCUUCUAAAGCUAAAUAUAGGCUAGAGACCGAUAGCGCACAAGUAGAGUGAUCGAAAGAUGAAAAGCACUUUGAAAAGAGAGUUAAACAGCACGUGAAAUUGUUGAAAGGGAAGCGCCUAUGACCAGACUUGUUUCUUUCAGUUUUGUUAGUUCUCGGACUGAUUUACUCUGUUAGUACAGGCCAGCAUCAGUUUGUUGUCGGGGAGAAAGGCUUAGGGAAUGUGGCUCCUUCGGGAGUGUUAUAGCCCUUUGCAUAAUACCCUUCGGCAGACUGAGGACCGCGCUUCGGCAAGGAUGCUGGCGUAAUGGUCAUCAGCGACCCGUCUUGAAACACGGACCAAGGAGUCAACCUUAUGUGCGAGUGUUUGGGUGUAAAACCCCAGCGCGUAAUGAACGUGAACGUAGGUGAGAGCUUCGGCGCAUCAUCGACCGAUUCUGAUGUUCUCGGAUGGAUUUGAGUAAGAGCACACAGGGUUGGACCCGAAAGAAGGUGAACUAUGCUUGUAUAGGGUGAAGCCAGAGGAAACUCUGGUGGAGGCUCGCAGCGGUUCUGACGUGCAAAUCGAUCGUCAAAUAUGAGCAUGGGGGCGAAAGACUAAUCGAACCUUCUAGUAGCUGGUUCCAGC
rnacentral:rRNA from 1 species